GGCUGGGUAGUUCAGUUGGUUAGAACGUCCGAUUCAUAUUCGGAAAGUCAUAGGUUCGAGUCCUAUCCCCGCUA
rnacentral:tRNA from 1 species